rnacentral:rRNA from 1 species
UACGAAGGGGGCUAGCGUUGUUCGGAAUCACUGGGCGUAAAGCGCACGUAGGCGGAUCUUUAAGUCAGGGGUGAAAUCCCGAGGCUCAACCUCGGAACUGCCUUUGAUACUGGGGAUCUCGAGUCCGGAAGAGGUAAGUGGAACUGCGAGUGUAGAGGUGAAAUUCGUAGAUAUUCGCAAGAACACCAGUGGCGAAGGAGGCUUACUGGUCCGGAACUGACGCUGAGGUGCGAAAGCGUGGGGAGCAAACAGG